GGCAAAUUUAAACAUUCUCUUAUUUGCUGGUCUUAUUUGACUAACAAACAUGAAGCUUGAUCAACAGUUCGCAGUAUGCAGUGGAGAAAAGCCUCAUCUUACCUCAUCUGCCACAAUCUCACUUCCAAGAAGUGAUGACCGCAGGAAGAGGCGCUGCCUUUUUACCUGCCUGUCGUCAUUGUGAGCACACAAUCAGUCCACAGGGUCCAGGUUACCGUCUCCAUCUGUUGACAUACGGAAACCAAGGCAACCAAGCCAGCCUCCUGGCUUUCCUUACCCCAAAAUUCCGAGCAGAGACUCCCCGGGACAGAAUCUGUUGUUGGUGCACAACCUCUCCCAGAAAGAACUUGGUGUCCUUAGGGACAAGUUCUUGGGCAGAUCAUUGCAGUAGAGUGAAGUCGUGUAUACUGAGAAAUACGAGACGCUUUCUGCAGAAACAAAGGAUGUACAUGCAAUGAUGCACUCAGACAAACUCUCAGAAAGCUGAGAUGAAUCUAGGAAUAUCAAGAUUUGUAAGUAUGUUUCCUGUUUUGCUGCAGUGUUUAAGGACAAAAUGACAGUUUACAAGGCAAUGUUUCCCCAGAAAAAUAUUGCCUUUUCUGGGGGGAAAAAAAGUGCCUCACAGCUCUUGCUGCUCCCUGGUAAAUUGAACGCAGCCAGGUGCAGGCUGAAGCACUUGCAGUGGUCCUGAUGACUGCUGAAUCUGAUCUUUUGCUGGGAUUUAUGAAAAGUCUCUCCCAGCUGUAAUUUCUUGACUUGGAC
rnacentral:lncRNA from 1 species